GCCGCGCCCCCCGUGCUGCCAGCCCGUGAGCCCUCAUCAUGGAUGGCGAGCUCUCCUAUUUCGCUUGGCUCGCCCUGGAAUCCCAGACCCCAGACGACGGGCAGGAUUCAUGAGCCGGUCGCAGGGGCCGGGGCAGGAGCCUCUGGCUCCAGACGCUGGCCGAGAGGUGAUGAGUGAGGUCGAGAGAACGGAAGAUUUAAAAAGCAACCGGGGCCUCCGUAUUGAAUGAAAGACCCAGUGCAAAGGCAUCACCAUGAACACGAGCAUUCCUUAUCAGCAGAAUCCUUACAAUCCCCGGGGCGGCUCCAAUGUCAUCCAGUGCUACCGAUGCGGAGACACCUGCAAAGGAGAAGUUGUUCGGGUCCACAACAACCACUUCCACAUCCGAUGCUUCACCUGUCAAGUGUGUGGCUGUGGCCUGGCCCAGUCGGGCUUCUUCUUCAAGAACCAGGAGUACAUCUGCACCCAGGACUACCAGCAACUCUAUGGCACCCGCUGUGACAGCUGCCGGGACUUCAUCACAGGAGAGGUCAUCUCCGCCCUGGGCCGCACCUACCACCCCAAGUGCUUCGUGUGCAGCUUGUGCAGGAAGCCGUUCCCCAUUGGAGACAAGGUGACCUUCAGUGGUAAAGAAUGUGUGUGCCAGACCUGCUCCCAGUCUAUGACCAGCAGUAAGCCCAUCAAGAUCCGCGGACCAAGCCACUGUGCAGGGUGCAAGGAGGAGAUCAAGCAUGGCCAGUCACUCCUGGCGCUGGACAAGCAAUGGCACGUCAGCUGCUUCAAGUGCCAGACCUGCAGUGUCAUCCUCACCGGGGAGUACAUCAGCAAGGAUGGCGUUCCAUACUGCGAGUCUGACUACCACUCCCAGUUUGGCAUUAAAUGUGAGACCUGUGACCGAUACAUCAGCGGCAGGGUCUUGGAGGCUGGAGGGAAGCAUUACCACCCCACCUGUGCCAGAUGUGUGCGCUGCCACCAGAUGUUCACAGAAGGGGAAGAGAUGUACCUCACAGGUUCUGAGGUUUGGCACCCCAUCUGCAAGCAGGCAGCCCGGGCAGAGAAGAAGUUAAAGCAUAGACGGACAUCUGAAACCUCCAUCUCACCCCCUGGAUCCAGUAUUGGGUCACCCAACCGAGUCAUCUGCGCUAAAGUGGAUAAUGAGAUCCUUAAUUACAAAGACCUGGCAGCUCUCCCCAAGGUUAAGUCCAUCUACGAGGUACAACACCCCGACCUCAUUUCCUACGAGCCUCAUUCCAGAUACACGUCUGACGAGAUGCUGGAGAGAUGUGGCUAUGGCGAGUCGUUGGGAACAUUAUCUCCCUACUCCCAGGACAUCUAUGAGAACCUGGACCUCCGGCAGAGACGGGCCUCCAGCCCGGGAUACAUCGACUCCCCGACUUACAGCCGGCAGGGCAUGUCUCCCACCUUCUCCCGCUCGCCUCACCACUACUACCGCUCAGCUGGAGAAAGUAACAUCUACCGGAAACCCCCGAUCUACAAACGGCAUGGUGAUUUGUCUACAGCAACCAAGAGCAAAACAAGUGAAGACAUCAGCCAGGCUUCCAAGUACAGCCCAGCCUACUCGCCAGACCCCUACUAUGCUGCAGAGUCUGAGUACUGGACCUACCAUGGGUCCCCCAAAGUGUCCCGAGCCAGGAGGUUCUCAUCUGGAGGAGAGGAAGAUGAUUUUGACCGCAGCAUGCACAAGCUCCAGAGUGGGAUUGGCCGUCUGAUUCUUAAGGAGGAGAUGAAGGCCCGGUCGAGCUCCUACGCCGAUCCCUGGACCCCUCCCCGGAGCUCCACCAGCAGCCGGGAGGCCCUGCACACAGCUGGCUACGAGAUGUCCCUCAAUGGCUCUCCUCGUUCACACUACCUGGCUGACAGUGAUCCUCUUAUCUCCAAAUCUGCCUCUCUGCCUGCCUACAGGAGAAAUGGGCUGCACAGGACACCCAGCGCAGACCUCUUCCACUACGACAGCAUGAACGCAGUCAACUGGGGCAUGCGAGAGUACAAGGUAAAGGACACAUAGACCCUGGGGGUCUCCUGAUGCUUGGAGCCAGUACCUUGGGGACCAGCAAGAGGAUGACAGCACUGUCUCUAUUCAGGGAAGGGAACAUAGAUGAAUCACCCCUGGGUCAUUUUGAUACUAACAUUCCCUGUUCCCCCUUGGUCCACCAUCCCUGAAUCCUGCCCUAGGUCUUCUGACAACUGAUUAGACUAUCUCCCUGGUCCUCAAAGACUGGUGGAUUACCAGACCACCAAAUAUUAGACACUUAAAUUCAGGAGACUGUGCUCACACUAAUGCCAAAUGCCACUAAUCUUGUCCCUGGCAAUUUUAGGGGAUGCUGUUGGGACUUACAUUUUGGGAGAAGAUACCUUAAGAUUGACAGGCAACUCAAAGAAGGGCAGGCCCAGCCCUUCCUCCAGACUUAAUCACUGACCCUUUCUGGCUAGAGGAAGGAGCCCAGACACAAAGUAUUGCUGAAAGAGACAGGCCCACCCGCCUCUCCCAAGCUGGAAACACCUCCUACCUUUCUCCUUAGAUCUAUCCCUAUGAACUGCUGCUGGUGACCACAAGAGGGAGAAACCGACUGCCCAAGGAUGUGGACCGGACACGCUUGGAGCGCCACCUGUCCCAAGAAGAGUUCUACCAAGUCUUUGGCAUGACCAUCUCAGAGUUUGAGCGGCUAGCCCUCUGGAAGAGGAACGAACUCAAGAAGCAAGCCCGGCUCUUCUAGGCAGAGGCUCUAUACAUAUAGAUGCAUUUAUAUAAAGAUUAUGUAAAAUCUCUAUCCUGAAGUGCGGUGUCAUCCCCCUGUGUGAUGGGACACGCUGCCUCUGUGAGACUUGCUUUUCUGUACUGUCAGGCAAGCCACAUCAUUAAGGUAUUUUUAUGCUCCUUACUUCUCUUUUCUAUGUGCUGUGGGAUCCGGGAAGGGAUUUGAAGGGACCCCGUCCUUUUGCUGGGGAUCCUUUUUAUACUGAAACAUCUGUCCCAAAGUGAGUCCCCCAAGGUCCAACUCUGUUCAAAAGGUGCCUGAAGGAGUCUCUCUGCUCUCUGCUUCUUGGCCCUCUCCCGAGUCUCCAGGGCUCAUUUUGACCUUGCAGUUCUCACACACCCUUGGCCCCUUAGGGGCCCUUCUAUGGGAGGAUCCACAGUGAUCUCCCCAAAUCAUCGAGCACCUUCAAGGUCUCGUGAAAAAUUUUCUCCACACCUCCAAUUUGGAGCUCUUUGCUCUCAGGGUGGUGCAGUUAGAAGUGUGAGCCCCAGAUCCACUCGUUACACCUGUGGACAGAAGUGGACAGGGCCCUGGCCUCUCCUCAGCUCACCAACCCUCCUCCUCUGCCCCUAAUCCUGAUCACUCCCUUGUCCAAAUCUAGGAUUCAAAGGUAGAAAAAGAAAAAAGGUGCUCCCUUCCCUCCACCACCUCCAACCGGCCUCUUUGCCUGGCCUGGACUUGGAGGAACAGAGGAGAGGAGAGGGAACUGGGAACAGGAAAUGGAGCCAGGCACCUGCCAAAUCCAAGCUGUGGGACCUCUGACCCUCCUCUCUCCCUCACUGCUCCCAGCACCUCCUGACGCUUCCCCCUUCCUGGGAGAGGCCGAUUGUUGCAGCCUGUAUUCUUCAGCCUUAUUACAAUCUAUGUGCCUGAUGACCUACCUACCACAGGGCUAACGUUCCCCCCACAGCUCCAACCCAACAACCAGAGAGAUAGCUCUCACCACCCUCUACAGGGAGAAUAGGCCACACCCCAGAGAAAGGCUCUUGGCCUGGGCCACUGGGCAACCAUAUUAGACCCCCACACCAAUCCCAGGUCCCACUGCAAAGUUGGCCAGGUCUCAUGGAGGAAACUUCCAGAGCAUGACUUCUUACAAGAUUCCAAAAUGAGGUGUUGGCCAACACUGCUCACGGUCAUCCAGAUUGUCCCAGGGGCCUGCCUUUCCUGCCUCUGGAACAGGGGUGAAAACUUACCCUUUUCUCAUCCUCUUGCCAAACUUUCAACCCUGAAUUGGCCAUGUUUGGGGGAUGGGCACUGUUCCUCCUUGGAGAUAUGUUGUUUCAGACCAUCUUGAGAUCAUGGAGGAAGGAUGAAGAAGUGGAGGUGACAACUGUGACUCUCAAGUGGCUGGUAAUGCAAUGAGGCAAAUGUCAAACUAAAGUCCAUCCAACAACCCUCACUGAGUACCUGCUGAAUACUGAGCACUGAAUGGGGGAGAGGGGUGCUGGGAUGAAUCAAUGCGGGCCCCAUCUCAGAGGCACGCCUAAUAAGAGUGGGCAACAUGAGACGUGCACCCAAACAUAAGGAAUAUAAGGCAGAAAGUGAGAGAAGGCUUGAGAAAGUGUGACAUUACUGAAGAGCCAGAUGCAGUUGGUGCAGACCAAGGAGAGCUUUCUGGAAGAGACUGCAUCUCAGUGAAAUCUGGAAGGAUCUCUGUAAACUGCGAGUUAAAAGGGUAAUAGGGUGGAGAGACCAGAAGGGAAGUCGAAUGUACUCUGGUUUAAGAUGUCAAAUCUCCCUGCAACUUCUCUUCUUGGCCAACAUCUUUCAAUGUUCCUGACCCGUGAGAAAUGUCCCCAGCCAGACACAAUCAUUGAAACUGCCUCAUUAUCACUGGUUAACAACUUGCGAGACUGAAGGGCUUUUGUUAUUGUUGUUGAAUAUUUUUGUUUCCCAUAAAAGCACAUCAUUGCAACCCAGACCCGUGUUCUCUGUGGUUUCCAGCGUGAGUGGAAAUGACUGACAUGGGAAAAGGCUAAACCAUGCACAUUUUUUUUUCAAAAUAAAUAAACCUAAAGAGCAGUCA